rnacentral:rRNA from 1 species
GAAUGCUGACAUAAGUAACGAUAAAGCGGGUGAAAAGCCCGCUCGCCGGAAGACCAAGGGUUCCUGUCCAACGUUAAUCGGGGCAGGGUGAGUCGACCCCUAAGGCGAGGCCGAAAGGCGUAGUCGAUGGGAAACGGGUUAAUAUUCCCGUACUUGGUGUUACUGCGAAGGGGGGACGGAGAAGGCUAUGUUGGCCGGGCGACGGUUGUCCCGGUUUAAGCGUGUAGGUGUGUGUUCCAGGUAAAUCCGGUUCACUUUAACACUGAGGCGUGACGACGAGGCACUACGGUGCUGAAGCAACAAAUGCCCUGCUUCCAGGAAAAGCCUCUAAGCAUCAGGUAACAUCAAAUCGUACCCCAAACCGACACAGGUGGUCAGGUAGAGAAUACCAAGGCGCUUGAGAGAACUCGGGUGAAGGAACUAGGCAAAAUGGUGCCGUAACUUCGGGAGAAGGCACGCUGACACGUAGGUGAAGUGAUUUACUCAUGGAGCUGAAGUCAGUCGAAGAUACCAGCUGGCUGCAACUGUUUAUUAAAAACACAGCACUGUGCAAACACGAAAGUGGACGUAUACGGUGUGACGCCUGCCCGGUGCCGGAAGGUUAAUUGAUGGGGUCAGCGCAAGCGAAGCUCCUGAUCGAAGCCCCGGUAAACGGCGGCCGUAACUAUAACGGUCCUAAGGUAGCGAAAUUCCUUGUCGGGUAAGUUCCGACCUGCACGAAUGGCGUAAUGAUGGCCAGGCUGUCUCCACCCGAGACUCAGUGAAAUUGAACUCGCUGUGAAGAUGCAGUGUACCCGCGGCAAGACGGAAAGACCCCGUGAACCUUUACUAUAGCUUGACACUGAACAUUGAGCCUUGAUGUGUAGGAUAGGUGGGAGGCUUUGAAGUGUGGACGCCAGUCUGCAUGGAGCCGACCUUGAAAUACCACCCUUUAAUGUUUGAUGUUCUAACGUGGACCCGUUACCCGGGUUGCGGACAGUGUCUGGUGGGUAGUUUGACUGGGGCGGUCUCCUCCUAAAGAGUAACGGAGGAGCACGAAGGUUGGCUAAUCCUGGUCGGACAUCAGGAGGUUAGUGCAAUGGCAUAAGCCAGCUUGACUGCGAGCGUGACGGCGCGAGCAGGUGCGAAAGCAGGUCAUAGUGAUCCGGUGGUUCUGAAUGGAAGGGCCAUCGCUCAACGGAUAAAAGGUACUCCGGGGAUAACAGGCUGAUACCGCCCAAGAGUUCAUAUCGACGGCGGUGUUUGGCACCUCGAUGUCGGCUCAUCACAUCCUGGGGCUGAAGUAGGUCCCAAGGGUAUGGCUGUUCGCCAUUUAAAGUGGUACGCGAGCUGGGUUUAGAACGUCGUGAGACAGUUCGGUCCCUAUCUGCCGUGGGCGCUGGAGAACUGAGGGGGGCUGCUCCUAGUACGAGAGGACCGGAGUGGACGCAUCACUGGUGUUCGGGUUGUCAUGCCAAUGGCACUGCCCGGUAGCUAAAUGCGGAAGAGAUAAGUGCUGAAAGCAUCUAAGCACG